rnacentral:rRNA from 1 species
GGGACGAACGCUGGCGGCGUGCCUAACACAUGCAAGUCGAACGGGACCAGGGGCAACUCUGGUUCAGUGGCGGACGGGUGCGUAACACGUGAGGAACAUGACCUUCGGCGGGGGAUAGCCGGCCCAACGGCCGGGUAAUACCGCGUACGACCAUCCGGGGACAUCCCUGGGUGGUGAAAGCAGCAAUGCGCCGAUGGAGUGCCUCGCGGCCUAUCAGCUAGGUUGGUGAGGUAACGGCUCACCAAGGCGACGACGGGUAGC